GCGGGGCCGGGCGCCGAGCAGGAGCAGAGCGCGGCUGCAGAGUGAGCAGCAAGCAGCGGGGAGACACAGCCCUUCGCCCCAGCCAGCCUCCGCGUGUGUUCCCUCUGUCGGGAGAGCGCCAAUGCCUGGGCCGACCCAAACCUUGUCCCCAAAUGGCGAGAACAACAACGACAUCAUCCAGGAUAACGGGACCAUCAUUCCUUUCCGGAAGCACACAGUGCGCGGGGAGCGGUCCUACAGCUGGGGAAUGGCGGUCAACGUGUAUUCUACCUCGAUCACCCAGGAGACUAUGAGCAGGCAUGACAUCAUUGCAUGGGUUAAUGACAUCGUCUCUCUAAACUACACAAAGGUGGAACAGCUCUGUUCAGGAGCAGCCUAUUGCCAGUUCAUGGACAUGCUCUUCCCAGGCUGUAUUAGUUUGAAGAAAGUAAAAUUCCAAGCAAAGUUGGAACAUGAGUAUAUCCACAAUUUUAAACUUCUGCAGGCAUCGUUUAAGCGGAUGAAUGUUGAUAAGGUAAUUCCAGUGGAGAAGCUGGUGAAAGGGCGUUUCCAAGACAACCUGGAUUUUAUUCAGUGGUUUAAGAAAUUCUACGAUGCUAACUAUGAUGGGAAGGAGUACGAUCCUGUCGAGGCACGACAAGGGCAAGAUGCAAUUCCUCCCCCUGAUCCUGGUGAACAGAUCUUCAACCUGCCCAAGAAGUCUCACCAUGCAAACUCCCCCACAGCAGGUGCGGCAAAAUCAAGCCCAGCAGCUAAGCCGGGAUCCACACCUUCUCGCCCCUCAUCUGCCAAAAGGGCUUCAUCCAGUGGCUCCGCAUCCAGAUCUGACAAAGAUUUAGAAACGCAGGUCAUACAGCUCAACGAGCAGGUAACACAUGGUCUCCACCCAAGUCCUUGGGAACAGCGCUGUGUGUGAGGGGUGAGGAGGUCACGCCCACAGGCCUGGGGGAAGGGAGAAAAGGUGAGACCAGGAGGACCUGCUCAAGAAGGGAGAGACACCACGUGUGAGGAUGUGGAAGAUGAUGCGUGUUGCAGGCUCCCCUUCCAUCCCGAACCCCAGGCCUGCUCUGCCCGCUCCUGGCCAGUCUGAGAAGUGUUAUGGCGGUAUUAGAGUCCAGCUGGCUCCCUCUCCGUCCCUUCUUUCUCAGCAGCUAACGGUUGAGCCUCUUUUAUGUGGUGGACACUGUGCUUGUUCUGGGGGCAUAAUGAUAGCAAGAUGGAUGAUACUGUCCCCUCACUCAGAGCCUACUAACAUCAGAACUUAGUACUAAAAUUAAACAAGUGAAUAAACAGACAAAAAAAAAAAAGCCCUCUCUACAAUAUCAGAACUGCGGUGCCUGGGAGCCCUGAAAGGCAACAUCUGUGUUUUAAAUAGAAAUUUUCCCAACUUACUAGCCCUCUGACAAUUAUGGUAAACCUCGCUACAUCAGCUGACAUUUCCAAGGUGAAACCCUAAGUAAGGGGUUGGGGUGUGACUUUGUGGGAGAGCACCAGUCUAGCCUGCAGGAGGCUCUGGGUUUGAUCCAAAAUGUCUUCUAACUCAUAAUACCUCAUUUUGCCUAGACUAAUACAGCUUAAGAUUAUUAAACCACUGGGCAGUGUGGUGCCCAUUGUAAAGCUACCUGCUUCCUGCCCCAAGUCAACCCCCUUUGGGAAAGAACCUUUCACUGCAAAUCCUUGGGCUGUGCCCAGCUACGUGCUGAGCCUGGCCUAGCCCCUAAUCUUCUGCUUGUUAAGGCAAGAGUCUGAGAACAGUUGUUUUGUUUUGUUUUGUUUUGUUUUGUUUUGUUUUGUUUCUAAAUAAUUGUGUACUCUCAGUCAGGAUUCCAGUGCAGAGUCCCACAGGCUUUGAGUUGAUCACAUUAGCACUUCAGGUAAAAUCUUAAGUCCCCUUAGGACUCUGAUUGGAUAACCAGGGCAUGUUCUAGUUACCUGCUGAUCGUCUAUUGGAGGCCAGGCGGGUUUUAGGUUGGGGGGACAGGUAUUGAUGAGUUCAUUCUCCUUUGCUAACGUAUCAGGAAUGGCAGCCUGAGCCAGCUCACGUUGAGUGUUUCCACAACACUCAUAGUUAAAGAAAGGAGGGAAACGGCAGUUAAUGAGCCUCGGGCCGUAAGCUUAAGACUUCUUGAAAGCCCGAAUGGACGGUGAAAGUCAGGCCUGGGUACAUCAUACUCUAGAGCCCUAGAUUUAUGCCUGUGCCCACAAAGCAGCUCAAGUUUUUCUUUGUCAUUAGCAGCUUGCACUCGGGUCUCCUGACCAACACUCCCCCCACACACACACACACCCUCUCCUUCCGCCUCAGCAUAGUUCCAACCCAGUGACCCAAUUCUGACCACAUGGAAAACUCCAGUUCCCUAGAUAUCUCCAGUCCUUCGUGGCCUUCGCUAGUCAGCUGCCUACUCUCCAUGUGGCUGCUCCGAGGUUUCCUUCAGCUCUCAAAUCACAUACAGGGGGUCUAGUUCCAAAAUGCCUUGCCAGUCCUUAAUGCCAAUCAAGAGAGGACAGAAGGGGCAGGAGCGGGGAAUGGUCUACCUGCUGACCUUCCAGGAGUACUUCUAACAGAGGCCUUACUCCCCUUCUUGUCCCCAACACCUUCACACCUAUGUCCACUCUGUCCUUGCGAGGGCAGGUGAAGCACAACCUAAACUGGACAGAUAUUUACCAAGUCCUCAUCCUGGUUCGUUUCCCUGGUGACCUGAGUCCGGCUGCAGACUCUUGAAGCCUCCAGGAGGAAGACCCUGAGGGUCAUGGGUGGCAGCAACACAAGGCUCCCAGUGUUGGAGUGGAGAACACAGGGACCAGGAGACGCCUAGUGGAAAUGCAGAAGCAUGAAUUAUGGUGGUAAUAGAGAAAGUGACAAUGGCCAUAAACUUAAAGAAUUUUCAUUUACUUGGCCCCGUUCCAUUAUUCAGGCAGUCUCCCAUGAUAUACGGCAAGAGCACACUGUGCUCCACAGUCGCGGUGAUAGCAGUGAAGCAGAAGAGACGGGGGGAAGAGGCAUAAAUGAGACUUUCUGAACAGAGGGUUAGCCAGCAGGAAAGGAUUGGAGCCACUCUGUCACGGGGCCUCUGGGGCCCCAAGACCGUGGACACUGCUGGGAAGUUAGGAAAGCAACUUCCCCCUUUGGACAUGACUUCCUCAGCCUCUGUCACUUAGGCAUCUGUAACCUGUGAGGAAUGAGGCUGGCCAUUUGUCCCUUAGUGGCAUCCGAAUGAAAUUGUGUUUGCUAGCUGAUCUGUGAUUGUUUAAAGUAGCUACUGCCCGAAUUUUAGGUUUUUGGUGUUUUUUUUUUUUUUUGACUUUGUAGACCAAUCUGGAUCUGAGCUCACGGCGAUUCACCUGCCUCAGUCUCUUGAAUAUCAGAAUUACAGGUUUUAGGUUGGGGGGAGACAGGUAUGGACGGGUUCAUUCUUUGCUAACAUAUCAGGAAUGCCAGCCUGAGCCAGCUCACGCUGAGUGUAUCCACGGAAGCCUCAGUGUGCUGUGCAGACCACUGUCCACAGGCACAGCCUGGAUUUUGUAGGCUGGCUGUGCCUGCUGUGAAUUGGAUGUGAAGAGCACCCCAUCCUCCACUGUGUGCUUUAACACUUGGUUCCCAGCCGGCUGUGCUGUCAGGGGAGGUUGUGGAAACCGGAAGUUGAGGCCUCGCUGGAAUGUGGUAGGCCUCGAAGGAUGUAGCUCAGUCCCGCGUCUCUUCUGGGUUGCUACUUCCUGGCCAGCACCAUGUAACACAGGCAGCUGCAGCUGGCUCCUGGCGCCACAGACCAUGCCCUCUGACCCCCCGAUCUGUGGGUCACAAUAAACCCUCCCCUGCGCUGCAUCUGUGGAAAGGAGCUAAAGCAAUACCUCUGCUUGGUUUGGCGGAGCCGAAGGUAUGAUCCUUCCUUCUGCUGCAGCGCAGGGGCCGGGAGGGAGUCUAUGGCCGCGGUCAGAGAUGGGAUCAGAACCAGGGAGGUUUUCCUGUUUCUGAAGUGCAGGCUUCACCGUGUGUGUUUGCAGGUAUGCAGUCUCAACAGGAAUAAAAAGUCAGGCCUAACUAACUGAACCCACACUUCUUUGGAAGUGCUGGUGUGAGGACAUCCAUGAGACCAGCACUAAGGGCCCCUCCCAGCAUAGAUCUGUUUGUCAGAUAUGGGGUAAAGGAAUGGCUGCGUGUACCAGUAUGUGUUUGAAUGUCAGUAGUUUCAGAGAUCUUGUACCAAAAGUCCAACUUAUUUUUUAAUAAAAAAAUAAACAAAAAGGAGAUUUUUUUUUUGCAUCUCAAAAGUAAUUACUAAAAAUAAUGUGCAGGGUUGGUUUUUUUUGUUUUUGUUGUUGUUGUUGUUGUUUUGUGUGUGAAGCAAACUUCACCCAAAAGAAACCCUGAGAUUUUGUUUAUUCCCUAAUGUUUGCUAUGUCAAGGUUUCUUCAGCUGUCUGCACCCACAACCUCUUUUCCCUCCAGAAAUUUCAAGCAACCUCAGGUUCAUAGGACUAUAAAAGGGGAAAACAAAACAAACGACCUGGUCAUAAAUCAUAAGAAAUUUUAUCUUAAAAUAGUUCUUUGGAGCCAGCAUGGUAGCACACACCUUUAAUCCGGACUCAGAAGGCAGAGGCACGUAGGUGGAUCUCAGUGGGUUCUAGGCCAGACAGGACUGUCUCAAAAAAAAAAAAAAAAAAGGCAAAUUUGCACACUAA